AUUCCUUGCCCCAGAAGUUUUAACAGAAACAUCAUAUACAAGGGCUGUAGAUUGGUGGGGCCUUGGUGUACUUAUAUAUGAAAUGCUCGUGGGUGAGUCUCCUUUUCCUGGUGAUGAUGAAGAGGAAGUUUUCGACAGUAUUGUAAAUGAUGAAGUAAGGUAUCCAAGAUUCUUAUCUACAGAAACCAUUUCCAUAAUGAGAAGGCUGUUAAGAAGAAAUCCUGAACAGCGCCUUGGAGCUGGUGAGAAGAAUGCAGAGGAUGUAAAAAAAGCACCCAUUUUUUU